GGCAAUCAAAGAGACUUCAACUUUUCAGUCCAAACGAAAGUCGAACACGCCCGAGUUUGGCCCACUUUACCUCACAUCAAAAGCACAGUGAUUGGUCGAAAAUCCAGCAGCAACACUGCACCCAGAAAAAAACAACACACCACGGCUGUCAGUAGCAAGACAACGCCAGAAACAUUAACCCUACCCUGUCGGCGAUCAAUUACACAAGUGAAAAGGCAAAUAAUUUUAUUAAUCUUCUGGCAAGUUGAGUCAUGUUAGGAAAAGCAAUGUCUAU